CCUACGGGUGGCAGCAGUGAGGAAUUUUGGUCAAUGGACGGAAGUCUGAACCAGCAAUGCCGCGUGCAGGAAGACGGCUCUCUGAGUUGUAAACUGCUUUUGUACAAGGGUAAACCUGAAUACGUGUAUUCCGCUGAAAGUACUGUACGAUUAAGGAUCGGCUAACUCCGUGACAGCAGCCGCGGUAAUACGGAGGAUCGAAGCGUUAUCCGGAUUUAAUGGGUUUAAAGGGUGCGUAGGCGGAUAGAUAAGUUAGAGGGGAAAUGUCCGAGCUUAACUCGGGAACAGCCUCAAAUACUGUUGAUCUAGAGAGUAGAUGCGGUAGGCGGAAUGUAUGGUGUAGCGGUGAAAUGCUUAGAGA
rnacentral:rRNA from 1 species